CAAGGCAACCAGGUGCCCCUAAUUGCCAGGGAGUGAGCAUGAGCUUGUGUCAAGCCCACCUGUGCCUAAUUAGGGUGGGACCCACUGCGCAUGAGCAGGACCAGGGGGCCAAUCCUAAUUGGGCACAGGUGGGCUUAACACAAGCUCAUGCUCACUCCCUGGCAAUUAGGGGCACCUGGUUGCCUUGUUACACU
rnacentral:pre_miRNA from 1 species